AUGUACCACCUAUUCCGGUCAGAACGAAAAAUUUAUGGAGUAGGUGAUAUGGCUUUCGACAACUUCUGUGUUCAGUCACUAGUACCAAAUCCAAAAUUUUCAUCUCAUCACCAAGUUUUGGUUGCCGCAAGUAAAAUCCUCCAUGAAAGUGUAACUGUUAAAAAAAAUUGAAAAAAGGCACUGUGUUGUGUGUUCCUCUCCUCUCUCCCUUUUGUAAAGCCCUAAUCUUCCCCUGAAUUUAACUUUCUUCUGGGUUGGCUGGCGUCUGCAACAUUUUCUACCAAUGAAGUACGUAGAUGGUUCAGUUUUUGUGGCUUCAACUUAGGGGUCAAGGAGUUCCUAAAUUCUCAUAAGAAAAAAAAGAGGAGGUAGCAAGUAUACCCAAAGGGUUUCAUGGCAAGUAAUGGCCUGCCAUCUCUAGGUCGUGUGAAGCUAACUGAUCUGGCACCUGCUGAAGGCCUUCCAUCAGAAUCUUACAAACUAUCUGUUUCAACUUUGUCACAAUCACUAGCACUCUAUUCUGCUGCCAUCAUUCAGUUUUCCAGUGAGUGAUGGGGCGCUCUUUUGAGGUCGGGUUUAGAUUCGGCUCGCCUCUACUUCCACCAGAAAGCAUCAUACCCAGCUGCAGAUAUGGUUAAUAACAAUGACCCUCGUGACUGGUCCUCAAGAAGCUAUUGUUUACCCUGGACUCGCACUCUAUCAGGCAACUGCAGGAUAUGUUAACCCUGCACUGCAGAGAACGGAGACUGCU